rnacentral:rRNA from 1 species
CCUACGGGUGGCUGCAGUAGGGAAUAUUGCUCAAUGGGGGAAACCCUGAAGCAGCAACGCCGCGUGGAGGAUGAAGGUUCUCGGAUUGUAAACUCUUUUUGUUAGAGAAGAUAAUGACGGUAUCUAACGAAUAAGCACCGGCUAACUCCGUGCCAGCAGCCGCGGGAAUACGGGGGGUGCAAGCGUUACUCGGAAUCACUGGGCGUAAAGGGCGCGUAGGGGGGUUAGCAAGUCAGUUGUGAAAUCCUAUGGUUUAACCAUAGAACUGCAUUUGAAACUGUUAUUCUAGAGUAUGGGAGAGGUAGGUGGAAUUCUUGGUGUAGGGGUAAAAUCCGUAGAGAUCAAGAAGAAUACUCAUUGCGAAGGCGACCUGCUAGAACAUGACUGACGCUGAUGCGCGAAAGCGUGGGGAGCAAACAGGAUUAGAUACCCUUGUAGUC